rnacentral:snRNA from 1 species
CUAUUUUCAAUUCAGCAGUACACAUGCUAAAGUUGAAAUGAUACAAAGAUUAGCAAGGUCUGGACUCAAGGAUAAAAUGAAAAUUUAUGAAAUGUUCCAUAUUUGA